GAGUUUGAUCGUGGCUCAGAGCGAACGCUGGCGGCGUGCCUAAGCCAUGCAAGUCGUACGCGGUCCCGGUUUGUGCUUGCACAGACCGGGAUGCGGCGUGGCGAACGGGUGAGUAACGCGUGGGUAACCUACCCUCGGGUGGGGGGAUAACCCGGGGAACCCGGAACAAUCCCGCAUAACAUCCCGUCACAUAAGUGACGGGAUCAAAGAGGGCCUCUGCUUUGCAAGCUCUCGCCUGAGGAGGGGCCCGCGUCCUAUCAGGUUGUUGGUAGGGUAACGGCCUACCAAGCCUACGACGGGUAGCCGGUGUGAGAGCAUGGCCGGCCACACUGGGACUGCGACACGGCCCAGACUCCUACGGGAGGCAGCAGGCGGGAAUCGUGGACAAUGGGCGCAAGCCUGAUCCCGCGACGCCGCGUGGGGGAAGAAGGCCUCGGUCGUAAACCC
rnacentral:rRNA from 1 species